rnacentral:rRNA from 1 species
UACAGAGGUCUCAAGCGUUGUUCGGAUUCAUUGGGCGUAAAGGGUGCGUAGGCGGCGCGGUAAGUCGGGUGUGAAAUCUCGGGGCUUAACUCCGAAACUGCAUUCGAUACUGCCGUGCUUGAGGACUGGAGAGGAGACUGGAAUUUACGGUGUAGCGGUGAAAUGCGUAGAUAUCGUAAGGAAGACCAGUGGCGAAGGCGGGUCUCUGGACAGUUCCUGACGCUGAGGCACGAAGGCCAGGGGAGCAAAAGGG